GCCGAGCUAUUUUUAGAUCGCUAUAUAACAUACGAAUCAGCGUUCGAGCCUCAUUCGAAGCAAGAGCUUCCAGAGAGCGACAUCAGGUUUAUGUGUGCCUCCCCAGCCCACCCCUGUGCGUCCACAGUGGCAGCGAGUGCUGUAAUCUCAUUAUUCUGCUCUGGGAGGCUGGCUGUCGGCCCUGGAACUACGAUUUACACAUGGCAUUUCAACAGGGAGGGGAGGGCCUGCUGUCGAUGAAGCGCCCACUGACAUUUAUCCAUUUGACACCCCAUCCAGUUUGAACUCAAGCGGGACUCGAGCCCCGGGCUGCUGGCAUGGGAGUCAGGCUCUACACGAUCCCAGCCGAGGAAUAGGGUUCUUAUCUAGCAAAACGAUCUGUCAUUUUCUAAAAAAAAAAAAAAAAAAAAAAAAUAUAUAUAUAUAUAUAUAUAUAUGUGUGUGUGUGUGUGUGUGUGUAACAUUGGAAAGGUCAUGCAUGACACAGGCGGAAGUACCGCGACCCCUCCAGUUCGGACCGCGCGCUCUAAGCGGGACUCUAACCCGGGUCCCGUGGCAUGGGAGUCGGGCUGUCUAACAAGGAGGCUGAUUGUUGCUGAUUGUGUCGUCAGUUAUUACCAUUUUUUUGUGUCAUGAGUGCAUCUUAAUGAAGUUUGUAGUUUGUCACCAUUGAGGUUGAUGUGUGUCUAUACAACUAUGGCAUGUAGUAUUUUUGUGUUAAUUAAAACAAUAUAUAAAAAAGGCAAUAUAUUUGAAUAGAAAGUACAAGAGAGACAAAUACCAAACAUUUUCUGUUGGCUUUCAUUGUCAUAAUACUUAGAGGCUUGAUUGAGUUUGUCGUUUUCAUUCUUUUCAAUGACUUACACAGUACAUGCAAUGGUUUCUGGCCUUCUCAAGGUAAUUUAGCUUAUUUUAAGGACGUUUGUUGGAAUUAAGAAGAGUAUUUUAGACGUGUAUUGAAUGUUGAAUAAACACAGAUAUAAUCUUAA